CGCACGGGUGAGUAACACGUAGGUCAUCAACCCCCGAGUGGUGAUAACCCUCCGAAAGGAGGGCUAAUACAGCAUGACGGCAGCAAUGUCCAAAGCGGGCCUCUUCAUGAAAGCUCGCGCUCGAGGAUGAGCCUGCGGCCCAUCAGGUAGUUGGCGGGGUAACGGCCCACCAAGCCAAAGACGGGUAGCUGGUCUGAGAGGAUGAACAGCCACACUGGAACUGAGACACGGUCCAGACUCCUACGGGAGGCAGCAGUCGGGAAUCUUCCGCAAUGGGCGAAAGCCUGACGGAGCGACGCCGCGUGAGCGAUGAAGGCCUUCGGGUUGUAAAGCUCUGUGGGGAGGGAAGAAUAAGUUCAAGCCAAUACCUUGAAUGAUGACGGUACCUCCUUAGCAAGCACCGGCUAACUCUGUGCCAGCAGCCGCGGUAA
rnacentral:rRNA from 1 species